UUGACUACAUCGUGAAGAUAAAAGUGACAAAGAAAACAGAGUACCAGAUUACAUGUGCUAACUGGUAAAGAUAUAACAGGAAUAUUCCUGUCACCCUAUCUACACGAAAAAGCACCUGAAUCAAGCAGUGAGUUGAUAUCGACAUAUGAAAGCAAGGAGAAAAUUCCUUUCUAUACGAAACAACAUUAUCAUCAGCAAUACAAUAGUCCAUUGACCUGUUGCACCCCUUUUUCAAGAAGCUAAUUAAAACCAAGAAUUGGUACCCGUUUUAUAUGCACGUAGAUCAUUUCAUUAUUGGCUUGAGAGAAAACAAAUGUUUUGAUGCCAUAUUAUUCGAAGCCACUCUCAAUAAAUUAUUGAGAUGAACACUUUUGACUAAUGUGGAAACAUGGCAACAAAACGUAAUAUCUAAACGAACAACAUCCACCUUGAGGACUGAUGCAUAAGCAAUGACCUCUCAUAGAACCGUAUCCAUGUCAAGUAGGAUAUAAACAUGACACAGUUAAAUAAUAUGUAGUCGAGGGAAAUAAAGAUAAAGAAAGAUAGCUUUGUUCUUCAUACAUCUGGUACGAAACAAUGUGAAUCCACGUCUCUCACCAAGGACAAGGAAUCUUUACCCAGUUAGCAAAUUAAAAAUCAUGAAACGGUGGACCUGCGACUGUGUGACUGCUUAACUUGAAAGAUAUAAGCUAUACAUAAAGCUUAAACUUGAUGAAUGUGAACAUUCAGACACAUAGAAACAUAUGAGAACUCUGUUGGCAAUUAUCCAUAAACUUUAUAUCAUGCUAGUAACUGAGGUACACUACAGAUCAGAAAUGUGACAUUGUACUGUAAAACUAUAUAGUAGAGGUAACAUGGAAAGUAUGUAUCAUAUAGAUCAUUAGAAGUAUUGAUUUAUUCAGUACUUUGUGUCAUCGACUUAUCUUUACUAUUAUUUUCUCAGAAGGAAAUGCUCCUUGUGCCGCCACACAUACAUGUUACUACUCCGUCCCAUAAUAUAAGUAGUAGAUUAUUAGGUCCUUCUAUUUGAAAACAAAGUUCAACUUAUGUAUGGUACGAAUCAACACAGCAAACCAGGAGCUCUAUUUGGAAUUUGUAAACAAUAGAAAGUUGGAGAGCACUCAAUGAAGAAGCACAAAUAUAAGAAACGAAACUGGAUCUUGCCUGAAAAAAGUUAGGGGAUGCAUUUUAGUUAUCUUGAAGUCUGAACCCUGAAACAAACAUAUCUGAUUUGCAUUCUCUCAAAGAAGGAACUCAUUUUGCUGCUUCUCUGCGAUUUUUUGAUUCAUUCUUUGCCUAAACUGUAGCAUAUCUCUGCUCAUGUUUAUGCAUUGGAAGUAUACAUGAGAGAUGUUACUGAAAAACUGUUGCUUGUUAGCUGACUGAAAAAUUGCUGCUUAUCUCAGUAGUAAAACUAUUGUUGUUUGUACACUGAAAAACUGGUGCUUAUCUCAGUAGUAAAACUUCUACUAUUUGUUAAUUGGUUGAAAAACUGCUGCUGUUUGAACCAGUAUUAUGCACCUUAUGUAUCUCAUUAGUAAAAGAGUUUCUACACUGUCGUUUUGUUAAUUGGAAAACUGCUUGUUAACUGACUGAAAGAAUUCAAAUCACUUGUAUUCAGUACGGAUACAAUGCUGCUGUUUGUACUUUUUGAACUCUUAAAAUGUUUAGACCUUCACCAAUAAAUCUCCCGGAAACAAUUACUGGAUGCGAUCUCCCUCGAGGUCAAGUGAAAAUAUAUUUUUAUUGAAGUAGACAAACAAAAGUUGCACAUAUAUUUCUAUUGUUACAAUUGGCCAACCUGCAUCUUAAAAAUUAAAAUGCGGAAACAAACAUGAAUGGGAGAAAGUGAUGAUUCACCCCUUUCUUUUUCGUCAUGCUCUUUCACAAGAUUCUUUCUCCCCGUUCCUAUCUCAGAUAUGAAAUUCCACAAGAUUCUUUCUCUUCUUUUCUAUCACAGAUCUGAAAAAAACACAAAUUGAGAAAUCAAAAUCAUAGAAUCAGAGAACUAAGAUAAUAACUGGGGGAGGAGGGGGAGCAACCUAGAUUGGGGAUGGUGAUGAUGGAUGACGAGCUCCUCCACUCCACCAUGACGCGAGCGCCGCCUGGAAGUUCUGCUACUCUGCUCCCACCCCCACCGCCAUCGUCCUCUACUCCUCCAUGCCCACCACGAAGACCAUGUUGGCCCUGCUCUCCCAUGGUGGCGUCCCUCCUCUCCGUCUCUCUCUCUCCUGCAGAUCAAAUCGAGCGCCGCCGCUGCCCUUUGCUUGCAGGUUGCCACCGCCGCCGGAGAAACUCGCCGCCGCGUCCACACGCCUUGGAUCCGCGGGAAGGACUGGGUGAAGGGGACGAGGAUCUAGGGGAGGCGGCUGCGGGAUGGAGAGGGAAAAGGUUUAGGGUUGGGGACAGGGACAGGGAGGGGGAGGAGAGAGCGGAGGGGGCGCGGGGGCUGAGGAAUGCACAUCGAGCACGGGGCAGGCACCUAGUGGGUGGCUAAUCCCUUGAGGACAC
rnacentral:lncRNA from 1 species